CCCCUGGCUGGGUUGGCUCUUUGUCACCAGGAACGUCCUAAGCUACCUUCCACUAGCCCUAGAGGAGUUUUCUAUGCAAAGCUUCACAAGCACAAUAAGAUAUUUACUGUCUUUAUCGGAGAGAUCAAACCCGCACACAGAUGUCACAUUUCUCAAAUUCCAUCAGUAGAUCAGACAAGCCGUCUCUGGAAAGAGGACAUUCCAGCCGGCAAGUUCAGAGCGCGCUGGCUUCCAGGGCCGUUCCCUUCCUAUUUUCUGUCGUGCACCCUGAGCCUUUGUUGUCUCUGCAAUGCUGAUAAAUCAAUCCAUCAAAAAAUUUCCUCAGUGAAACUCAAUCAAGAAAGGUCAUGUCAGCGGGAGAGGAACAGAUUAAAUUAGCAUCAAAUUAGACAUGGAAAGUGAGUUCUGUCAAAAUCAUCGCAGCGCUCAGCACAAUUAGAAUAUGUUAAUUAUGCAUUUCAUUAAGGUGGAUGUGAGAUGAAAUGUCACUGGGGUAGGCAUCCGAAAAAGGGAAGAUUGCCAGGCACAACUUUCUCUAGACAAUGUGUGACACCUUCAUUAACAUCAAGAAUCACAAGUCUGCCUUGACUUUUUCUGUAAAGGAUUAAACCAUUAACUGUUUGCUGGCUCCUCUCAUUUGUGCGGGGGUCCCUGUCCUCCAAGGGGGCCGGCCCCUCCUGAGUGACUGUCUUGCUCUGCCACCGCCAUGGCCCCAGGGGCUGCUGGGAGUGCCCGGUGGGCACUGGAGAGGGUGGCGGGUUUUAAUGAACUCCCUGCAAGCUUCUGGGGAUCACGCCACUGUCUUAGGGGUGGCAGGGUGCUGAGAAAUGAGGGGUGAGGAUUACAGAGGGAGGGGAGGAGGGGCAGGGGGAGGCUCUUGGCUUCAUUCUUGGGGAUGAAAGAUAUAAUCAACGUCAUGGGGGGCGGGCAGGGGGAUCAGAUUUACAAACUUACACCCGGCAAACUCUAAUUUGGUGAAUUAUUUCGCAGAUCACUCUCUGAGUCACGGCAACCAGGAGGCAUUCUCCCGGAGUGAAGUAGUUCCUCGUGAGGCAGCUUCAUAAAAUCCUCGUUAGAUGCUUCCAGUGGACAGUAACUGUAACACAACACACUCAGACUUUCCUACUUCUUCCCAGAAACGAAUUAUCCAUCUACCCACUACUUGGUCUGCAGGACAGAGGACAGAGAUCAGAGGGUAGGAGGCACCGUUGUUGUACCAUGGGGGCUCGAGAAGGAGUAGUUACCACAACCUGGGAGAGGAAGUCAGAGAGGACUUCCUGGAAGAGAGAGAAUGUAAGUGGAGACCUACAGGCUACAUGGGGAUCCUUCCCAGAAGCCCACCAGCACAAUUUCCCUCAUGCCUUUCCCACUGUGUUUUUUCCCUCUGCACAUACACUUCUGCCGGGGUCUGUGGGGAGGAUGGUGAUGUGUGGCCCAUAGCCUUUGGUGGGAUAAUGCUUUUGAAAAAUCUCCUCGGCUCUUCCCAGCAUUCCUGUAUUGGCUGCUUUUCCCUCAACCAGGCAUCAGCUACUCACGAUCACACCAAAACUACAACGGAAGGAAUUUGAGUUUAACAAAGGUGGGUUUCACCAACCCAUGCUUCCUGAGGCAGUUCGGGAACAAGACAAGAUGUGAUUACAGAGCAAGUCUCCCUACUGGACAUGACAGGAUAAGCUUGUCGACGGGGGGCAGAGGAGACCUGGGGGAAACUAGGCAGUCAAAUGCGGCCAGGUGUCCCUGGGAGAAAGUCUGACAAUUUCAAGGGGACUCAGGAGUAGUGACAACCUGCACCUUUUCCCCAGCAGCACCUAGGAAUGCUGUGAGUCCCUCGAGAUGGCCUGGGCUCCAAUGCCCUGGGGAAAGGGCUGGAAAGCCAGCCAAAUGGCUGAGAGGAGUGGGUGAUCAGGCAUCUGGGCCUAGGGGGUGGGGUCCCUCAGGACCGGGGUCCCCCCAGGCCCAUGGUCAUGGGUAGUUGACCUGGGCAGUCACACACGGCUCUGCGUGUCUGGAUGAAUACCGUCUAGAAAGUCCUAGCACUUUCUGAACCAAGGGCCCCACAUUUUCGUCUUGCAAUAGGCCACGCAUGGUGUAGCUGGUUGUGGCUGCCUGACAGGGUGCCCGUGUGCCCCAGGGGGAGACUGUCACAGCCACCACAAGUCUGAGGGGGGUGGGUAAAUGCGAGGAGACCUUAUAGAGUUCACAGUGACCAGAAGACCUGUGAGAGCUUGAGGCCACCACAUGCCAGCUCCCUGAAGGACCCCUCUUCCCCCGCCUGCUCCUACCCACCCCCUGUUUCAGCUGUGUCCCUCAGGAACGGGGAGGAGUCCUGAACUGACCAGGAAUAAGUCUUUGCCC